rnacentral:rRNA from 1 species
AACGAACGCUGGCGGCAUGCCUAACACAUGCAAGUCGAACGAGACCUUCGGGUCUAGUGGCGCACGGGUGCGUAACGCGUGGGAACCUGCCCUUAGGUUCGGAAUAACUCCCCGAAAGGGGUGCUAAUACCGGAUAAUGUCUUCGGACCAAAGAUUUAUCGCCUUUGGAUGGGCCCGCGUUGGAUUAGCUAGUUGGUAGGGUAAAAGCCUACCAAGGCGACGAUCCAUAGCUGGUCUGAGAGGAUGAUCAGCCACACUGGGACUGAGGCACGGCCCAGACUCCUACGGGAGGCAGCAGUGGGGAAUAUUGGACAAUGGGCGAAAGCCUGGUCCAGCAAUGCCGCGUGAGUGAUGAAGGCCUUAGGGUUGUAAAGCUCUUUUACCCGGGAUGAUAAUGACAGUACCGGGAGAAUAAGCUCCGGCUAACUCCGUG